GACGAACGCUGGCGGCGUGCUUAACACAUGCAAGUCGAACGGAAAGGCCCCUUUGGGGGUACUCGAGUGGCGAACGGGUGAGUAACACGUGGGUAACCUGCCCUUGACUUCGGGAUAACUUCAGGAAACUGGGGCUAAUACCGGAUAGGAAUCCUUGCUGCAUGGUGGGGGUUGGAAAGCUUCGGCGGGGUUGGAUGGACUGGCGGCUUAUCAGCUUGUUGGUGGGGUAGUGGCUUACCAAGGCUUUGACGGGUAGCCGGCCUGAGAGGGCGACCGGCCACAUUGGGACUGAGAGACGGCCCAGACUCCUACGGGAGGCAGCAGGGGGGAAUAUUGCACCAGGGGCGGAGGCCUGAUGCAGCAACGCCGCGUGCGGGAUGACGGCCUUCGGGGUGUAAACCGCUUUCAGCAGGGGCGAAGCUUGUGGUGACGGUACCUGCAGAAGAAGCACCGGCUAACUACGUG
rnacentral:rRNA from 1 species